CAAGGCGACGAUCUGUAGCUGGUUUGAGAGAAUGAUCAGCCACACUGGGACUGAGACACGGCCCUUACUCCUACGGGAGGCAGCAGUGGGGAAUAUUGGACAAUGGGGGCAACCCUGAUCCAGCAAUGCCGCGUGUGUGAAGAAGGCCUUCGGGUUGUAAAGCACUUUAAGUUGGGAGGAAAAGCUGCUUGUUAAUAGCGAGUAGUGUUGACGUUACCAACAGAAUAAGCACCGGCUAACUCCGUGCCAGCAGCCGCGGUAAUA
rnacentral:rRNA from 1 species